AUAUAGUAUUGAAAUACUGCCAAUUUUGGUGCCGAUUCAAGUUCGUUUCGAUACCCAAUUGAAUUACUAAAUUUAGAGGUUCAAAUCUGGAAAAUUCUCAUCCAGUCUUGAAUUUCCCCAACUUCGGGCUACCGUAUCUCGGUACUCGAAACUCCGAUUCUUGAUCCGCUUGUUUUGUCAUACACUUCACUUGCAACACUAAUUGAGCUGAAAAUUUCAGAGGCCGGUUUGCAACGUACGAAUCGUGCCGAAUUUUCAAAGUUGGCCAAAAACCAACUUCAUUCUGCCUUGUAAACUGAAGCUGCGUCUUCAAGCCCAUUUUUGACCACUUUCCACUUCGAUUCAUGGAAAAGUGUCUUCUAGGAACUUAUAGUACUCU
rnacentral:lncRNA from 1 species